rnacentral:rRNA from 1 species
AUUGAACGCUGGCGGAAUGCUUUACACAUGCAAGUCGAACGAUGAACCUUAGCUUGCUAAGGGGAUUAGUGGCGAACGGGUGAGUAAUAUAUCGGAACGUGCCUUGUAAUGGGGGAUAACUAGUCGAAAGAUUAGCUAAUACCGCAUACGCCCUGAGGGGGAAAGUAGGGGAUCUUCGGACCUUACGUUAUAAGAGCGGCCGAUAUCUGAUUAGCUAGUUGGUGGGGUAAUGGCCUACCAAGGCGACGAUCAGUAGCUGGUCUGAGAGGACGACCAGCCAACCUGGAAAGUGAGCCACGUCCAACAGUCCUACGGGUGGCGCAAGGGGGGAUUUUUGGACAAGGGGGCCAACCCGUACCCACCCUUCCCGGGUGAUGAAAAAGGCCCUCGGGUUUGUAACGCUCUUUCACAAGGAAAAAAAACUACCCACCGAAAAAGUGGUGAGGCUCAGGGUCCUUUGUAAAGAAGCCCCGGCUAACUACGGC